rnacentral:rRNA from 1 species
AAGUCGUAACAAGGUUUCCGUAGGUGAACCUGCGGAAGGAUCAUUAUCAGGCGGUCGGGUCUUUGGCCCGAACCCUCAACCCUUUGUCUACCUAUCUUUGUUGCUUUGGCAGGCCUGUGGAGCAAUCCACUGCCGGUUUUGGCCAGCCUGUGCCUGUCAGAGAACCCUCAAACUCGAUCAAUCUGUCGUCUGAGUAACAUACAAUAGUUAAAACUUUCAACAACGGAUCUCUUGGUUCCGGCAUCGAUGAAGAACGCAGCGAAAUGCGAUAAGUAAUGUGAAUUGCAGAAUUCAGUGAAUCAUCGAAUCUUUGAACGCACAUUGCGCCCCUUGGUAUUCCGAGGGGCAUGCCUGUCCGAGCGUCAUUUCAACCCUCAAGCAUUGCUUGGUAUUGGACCUCGCCCCCCUGGGGCGGGUCCGGAAAUCAGUGGCGGUCCCUCACGGACUCAAGCGUCGUAAUUCAUUCACGCUUUGGAGCACGGGAGAGUGGCCUGCCAGAUCACCCCAAUUACAUCACGGUUGACCUCGGAUCAGGUAGGGAUACCCGCUGAACUUAAGCAUAUCAAUAAGCGGAGGAAAAGAAACCAACAGGGAUUGCCUCAGUAACGGCGAGUGAAGCGGCAACAGCUCAAAUUUGAAAUCUGACUCUUUCAGGGUCCGAGUUGUAAUUUGUAGAUAAUGUUUCGGGUGCGGCCCGGUCUAAGUUCCUUGGAACAGGACGUCACAGAGGGUGAGAAUCCCGUACGUGAUCGGACGCCAAACCCAUGUGAAGCAUAUUCGACGAGUCGAGUUGUUUGGGAAUGCAGCUCUAAAUGGGUGGUAAAUUUCAUCUAAAGCUAAAUACUGGCCGGAGACCGAUAGCGCACAAGUAGAGUGAUCGAAAGAUGAAAAGCACUUUGGAAAGAGAGUUAAACAGUACGUGAAAUUGUUGAAAGGGAAGCGCUUGCAACCAGACUUGCCUGCGGUUGAUCAACCGAUGUUCUCACCGGUGCACUCGACCGUGGUCAGGCCAGCAUUGGUUUUGGCGGUGGGACAAAGGCCGCGGGAAUGUGGCUCCUCUCGGGGAGUGUUAUAGCCCGUGGUGCAAUGCCACCUGCUGGGACCGAGGACCGCGCUUCGGCUAGGAUGCUGGCGUAAUGGUUGUAAGCGACC